rnacentral:rRNA from 1 species
GUGGCGAACGGGUGAGUAACACGUGAGCAACCUGCCCCUGACUCUGGGAUAAGCGCUGGAAACGGCGUCUAAUACUGGAUAUGUGACGUGACCGCAUGGUCUGCGUCUGGAAAGAAUUUCGGUUGGGGAUGGGCUCGCGGCCUAUCAGCUUGUUGGUGAGGUAAUGGCUCACCAAGGCGUCGACGGGUAGCCGGCCUGAGAGGGUGACCGGCCACACUGGGACUGAGACACGGCCCAGACUCCUACGGGAGGCAGCAGUGGGGAAUAUUGCACAAUGGGCGGAAGCCUGAUGCAGCAACGCCGCGUGAGGGAUGACGGCCUUCGGGUUGUAAACCUCUUUUAGCAGGGAAGAAGCGAAAGUGACGGUACCUGCAGAAAAAGCGCCGGCUAACUACGUGCCAGCAGCCGCGGUAAUACGUAGGGCGCAAGCGUUAUCCGGAAUUAUUGGGCGUAAAGAGCUCGUAGGCGGUUUGUCGCGUCUGCUGUGAAAUCCGGAGGCUCAACCUCCGGCCUGCAGUGGGUACGGGCAGACUAGAGUGCGGUAGGGGAGAUUGGAAUUCCUGGUGUAGCGGUGGAAUGCGCAGAUAUCAGGAGGAACACCGAUGGCGAAGGCAGAUCUCUGGGCCGUAACUGACGCUGAGGAGCGAAAGGGUGGGGAGCAAACAGGCUUAGAUACCCUGGUAGUCCACCCCGUAAACGUUGGGAACUAGUUGUGGGGUCCAUUCCACGGAUUCCGUGACGCAGCUAACGCA